rnacentral:misc_RNA from 1 species
GUUGUUAAAAAUGAUACUUAUAAUAAUGAUAAUUAUGGCUUAAAAUAUGAAUGAAAAUGUUUAUUAUUUUAUACAUCUGUCAUUGUAUGUCAACCAAACUAAGCUUUUUUUUAAAAAAACAAUUUCUGGCAGACAAUUUAGAGAUUACUUGUUAAAAAUGCUAUGUCACAUAACCCGUAUAAUUUAGAUCGUAAUGUACAUUGCAAACAGUAUAGUACUUUAUAUUUAAAAUAUUAUUUAUUCGCUUAACCUAAAAACGGAAAAUUAUAAUUUCCGAUUCCCUAAAAUAUACAUAUAUAUAUAUAUAUAUAUGUCGCGUCCACUUUGUGUAAUCUUCGAUCAUAUCGUGCAGGUUGUUUUUAGGUUCAUAAAAUGGACAUUUAUUUUAUCCAUUUCAUGAAAUGGAAACCCGUAUUUUAAACUUGAUAUAAUUUAUUUAAUUUUUACACUAAAUGGAUAACUUUUUGUGAAAUCGACAUUUUAUCGAAAUAUACAGAAUAUCAUUGUCAAUGAAAUUAUACUUAAUCUUUCUACAGUUUAUACUUAAAAGCUUAAUAUACCUAUAUCAAUUUAGUACUAUAUACCCGUAUCAUCUGUAAUAAUCACGUUUGUAUUAACAUUAUCAGCUCAUAAACACGAUACAGCCCAGAUUAAGUUCUUCAUUGUAUGUAGGUAGUGUAAUUAUUUUUGGAUAAUGCACUAAAGCUAGUUAUGCCACUCUACCAGCUGCACGUUUCCUAGCACAACUAUACGAACCUCCGCCGUCCAGUACAAUAUUUCAUAUUCAUUAUUAUACAAAAUGGAUGCAUUUUCCGAGUUCUAUAAAAAACUAGAUGCAUACUACAUUGAAAAGCCAGAAAAAAAACCAUCAACUAAAAAUGAAAUUGAAAUAAUAAUCAAUGAAAUUUUAGCAGCUAAAACGAAAAUUGAUAAAAAAUCUAGAAGAGAGUAUUAUCUAUUGAAGCAAUAUGAUGUAUUAUGCGUAGCAGACAAAAAGUAUUUAGUUUUUAAAAAAAAUGAAGGUGAUAAUAUAAGAUAUGUUUUACCUUACGAAGAAUUAUAUGAACGUAUUAACGAUUCUCACAUAACAACAGGACAUGGUGGAAAUGUCAAAUUACGUGUAGUAAUGGGCAAUAAAUACAAAAUUCCAAGAUCAGCAAUAGAAAAGUUUUUAUCAGUAUGUUUUAUGUGUAAUUCCAAGCAAGGAAAAAAUCGCAGGCUAGUCAUAAAACCAAUUAUUACCAAAGACUUUAAUGAAAGGGUCCAAGUUGAUUUAGUAGAUUUUUAAUCAACAUCUGAUGGUAAAUAUAAAUGGAUCAUGAAUUAUCAGGAUUACAGCACAAAGUUUUUACUGUUGCGUCCACUUGAAAGCAAAAAGGCUCUUAAAGUGACAAGAUAUGUGGUCACAAUGUGUUAUAUUCCAUGGUCGACCUCGUCAUCCCCAAACUCAGGGAAGUGUCGAGAAGAUUAAUCAAGAAAUCGAAAAUAUGAUUCGUGCGUGGAUGAAAGAGAAUCGAUCAAAAAAAUGGUCCAUUGGAUUACAGUUCAGUGGCGUAUAAAAGGGGGGUGUUUGGUAGAUAUGACACCCCCCUUGAGUCGUAUCAUAUAUUACAUCAGCGGUUACCAACCUUUUUAGUAGUGCGGACCACCAAUUUCGUAGAAAAUGUUUGAGACCCACCAAUAGUUAUAUAUGUAUAAUAUGCACAUACGUCAGUUAUUACAAUUUAUUUAUAAAAAACAAUUGUUUAUCAAAAAAUAGAACUUCAUUGAAGUAGAUUAUUCAAGAGUUAAACAAUUUAAUGUAAUUUUGGAUUGUUUCCAAUGAGAGAAUCAAUAUUUGGAUUAAAAAUGAAAAGUUUUAGCCUUAAAUCGCUCAAAUUCAAUUUAUUCCUACAUUUAUUUUUUAAAAAGUAGAAAAAGCUCGUUCACAAAGACACACAGGUUGUCGAAAUAUAGCCCACCAAAUUUCUAAGUAAAAUUUUAGAAAUUGCACAGAAAGUCUCGCCGAAUAUUUAAGUAUAAUGGUAAUAAUGGUGUAGUUUUAAAAAACGAGUUUAGAGUCUGAUCACAUUAGAGUUCAAUCAACGAAUCUUCUUCACUUGCUGAUAUUUAAUAUUUUAAAAAUAUAUGUAAGUAAUAUUAAUAAAAUAUGGUUCACGGCCCAGUACCACCUGCUCGCCCAUGGGUUGGGAACCACUGUAUUACAUUAUUAUAGGAAUAUAGGUAAAUCGAUAAUUCAAUAUCAAAUAUAAAAUA